UCGGGUUGUAAAGCACUUUUGUCCGGAAAGAAAACGCUCUGGUUAAUACCCGGGGCGGAUGACGGUACCGGAAGAAUAAGCACCGGCAACUACGUGCCAGCAGCCGCGGUAAUACGUAGGGUGCAAGCGUUAAUCGGAAUUACUGGGCGUAAAGCGUGCGCAGGCGGUCCGCUAAGACAGAUGUGAAAUCCCCGGGCUUAACCUGGGAACUGCAUUUGUGACUGGCGGGCUAGAGUAUGGCAGAGGGGGGUAGAAUUCCACGUGUAGCAGUGAAAUGCGUAGAGAUGUGGAGGAAUACCGAUGGCGAAGGCAGCCCCCUGGGCCAAUACUGACGCUCAUGCACGAAAGCGUGGGGAGCAAACAGGAUUAGAUACCCUGGUAGUCCACGCCCUAAACGAUGUCAACUAGUUGUCGGGUCUUCAUUGACUUGGUAACGUAGCUAACGCGUGAAGUUGACCGCCUGGGGAGUACGGUCGCAAGAUUAAAACUCAAAGGAAUUGACGGGGACCCGCACAAGCGGUGGAUGAUGUGGAUUAAUUCGAUGCAACGCGAAAAACCUUACCUACCCUUGACAUGUAUGGAACCCUGCUG
rnacentral:rRNA from 1 species